rnacentral:rRNA from 1 species
AUGCACGCUGGCGGCGUGCCUCAUCCAUGCAAGUCGAGCGAACAGACGAGGAGCUUGCUCCUCUGACGUUAGCGGCGGACGGGUGAGUAACACGUGGAUAACCUACCUAUAAGACUGGGAUAACUUCGGGAAACCGGAGCUAAUACCGGAUAAUAUAUUGAACCGCAUGGUUCAAUAGUGAAAGACGGUUUUGCUGUCACUUAUAGAUGGAUCCGCGCCGCAUUAGCUAGUUGGUAAGGUAACGGCUUACCAAGGCGACGAUGCGUAGCCGACCUGAGAGGGUGAUCGGCCACACUGGAACUGAGACACGGUCCAGACUCCUACGGGAGGCAGCAGUAGGGAAUCUUCCGCAAUGGGCGAAAGCCUGACGGAGCAACGCCGCGUGAGUGAUGAAGGUCUUCGGAUCGUAAAACUCUGUUAUUAGGGAAGAACAAAUGUGUAAGUAACUAUGCACGUCUUGACGGUACCUAACCAGAAAGCCACGGCUAACUACGUG